UACGUAGGCAGCGAGCGUUGUUCGGAAUUACUGGGCGUAAAGAGUGUGUAGGCGGUGCUCUAAGUUCGGUGUGAAAUCUCCUGGCUUAACUGGGAGGGUGCGCCGGAAACUGGAGUGCUCGAGCGUGGGAGAGGAAAGCGGAAUUCCUGGUGUAGCGGUGAAAUGCGUAGAUAUCAGGAGGAACACCUGUGGUGUAGACGGCUUUCUGGACCAUAGCUGACGCUGAGGCACGACAGUGUGGGGAGCAAACAGG
rnacentral:rRNA from 1 species